ensembl:snoRNA
UUAAAGUAGCUAUUUUUUACGGCCCCGACCGUAGCUGUGGUCACAGCCACUGGUGAGAUUCACCAGGCGGUCUUAGCUUACCCCCACUGCCUGGGAGUGAGGGAGUGAAUCCCAGGCCCUGAAAGGU